rnacentral:rRNA from 1 species
GAUGAACGCUGGCGGCGUGCCUAAUACAUGCCAGUCGAGCGAACAGACGAGGAGCUUGCUCCUCUGACGUUAGCGGCGGACGGGUGAGUAACACGUGGAUAACCUACCUAUAAGACUGGGAUAACUUCGGGAAACCGGAGCUAAUACCGGAUAAUAUAUUGAACCGCAUGGUUCAAUAGUGAAAGACGGUUUUGCUGUCACUUAUAGAUGGAUCCGCGCCGCAUUAGCUAGUUGGUAAGGUAACGGCUUACCAAGGCAACGAUGCGUAGCCGACCUGAGAGGGUGAUCGGCCACACUGGAACUGAGACACGGUCCAGACUCCUACGGGAGGCAGCAGGAGGGAAUCUUCCGCAAUGGGCGAAAGCCUGACGGAGCAACGCCGCGUGAGUGAUGAAGGUCUUCGGAUCGUAAAACUCUGUUAUUAGGGAAGAACAAAUGUGUAAGUAACUAUGCACGUCUUGACGGUACCUAAGCAGAAAGCCACGGCUAACUACGU